GCCAGGUGUAGUAGUGUGUGCCUGUAGUCCCAGGUACUCAGGAGGCUGAGGCAGGAGGAUUACUUGAGCCCAGGAGGUUGAGGCUGCAGUCAGUCAUGAUCAUGCCCCUACACUCCAGCCUGGGCAAUAGAGUAAGACCCUGUCUCAA
ensembl:misc_RNA Metazoa_SRP Metazoan signal recognition particle RNA